rnacentral:lncRNA from 1 species
AUGGUGUCAAACAGCACUGACAAGACGGUGAAAGAGUUUAUAGACCAAAUCAAAAACGUGACGGAGGAGAAGGUAGAGAAAGUUGUGAUUCACUUUUUAUAUGAGAAAAAUAGUUCUGCCUUUGGAAGUGUGAAUGAAACAAAACCAGCAACAUGCAUAUGUGACAUGAGGAACGCAUCCGGGGUGGAAGAUGGAACCAACAAGACCCAGCAGGAAUCUGAGCCUGAGACGUCUCCGACCAGCACCCCUGAGCCUCAGAUCCAGGAAGGAAUCAUCCACACGUAUAUCAUCCCUGGAUUGGUGGUUUUGUCGCUUUUCUUCCUGAUUUGUGUUUUGGCGUGUUUGUGCAGAAGGAAUCAAAGGAAUGCUAAAGGAAAAUCCGAAAGCAAGCAUGUGGCAGAGAUGAAUCAGCUCAGCACGCCUCAAAACGAGGAGGUGGUGUAUACGAAGCUGAAGUUUGAAAAGACGGAGACGAAGCCUGCUGCCUCAGAAGUUGUUUACGCUGAGAUAAAACCACAACAGAAGUAGAGAGCUGAGAAUGCCCGUGCUGCUGAUGCAAAGGGAAGGUUCUCCUACUGGGCACAGGGCAAGUGAGUGAUAAAGGAGGGACAAACAGCUUGUCACAUGCUUGCCACAGUUGCGAUCCCUGAAAACCAGGGGUCUGGUUUUCACAAUCUGAAACCACUGCUCUAAGGCAGUGCAAUCUUGGCCAUCAAAACCUUCUGUUUACCCCCAAGCGGCUGUACGUAUACUUCACAUUCUGAGGUGGAAGCCAGCUCUCUAGCUGGGACAGGUCCCCCUUGUCAUCCCGCAGAAAGGCCUCAGCAGCUUAUCAGUGGUGACCACUUCUAGCAACUUGCGCCGUGCCUCAGUAUCAGCAGCAGGCGCUGUGUGGCCGCCCCAGCCUGGGAAGCACUCAGUGUCCCAGUAGUGCUGGAGCAAGUGGCCCUCUGGGAAGCUCUCCUGCCAGCACUGGGUGAUGUAUGCGCUGUGAAAGCCCUGAAGCAAUUUUCUGGAUUUCCUUGCUAUGUCCAGAGCAGGCAUCUUCUGUGACGAAUUUCACCCUUGUCUGAUUCACUCGCUUGAAAUACAAGAAGCAAGACAGAAAGGAAUAGUUUGCUUUGCAGAGGUCCAACGUGGCUACAGCUGAAAUGAUUUGCUUUAUACCAGGAAUUGACACAUGUCCUUGUGUAUAUAGAGCUUUACUCUAAUUUGAAAAAAUAAAAAUAAAAGGUGAAGUUUUUUGCUGUCA